GGAUGAACGCUAGCGGCAGGCUUAAUACAUGCAAGUCGAGGGGCAGCAGGCCCCGACGCAAGUCGGGGUGCUGGCGACCGGCAAACGGGUGCGGAACACGUACACAACCUUCCUUUAAGUGGGGAAUAGCCCAGAGAAAUUUGGAUUAAUACCCCGUAACAUUAUGAUGUGGCAUCACAUUAUACUUAUAGCUCCGGCGCUUAAUGAUGGGUGUGCGGCUGAUUAGGUAGUGGCGGGGUAACGGCCCACCAAGCCUGCGAUCAGUAACUGGUGUGAGAGCACGACCAGUCACACGGGCACUGAGACACGGGCCCGACUCCUACGGGAGGCAGCAGUAAGGAAUAUUGGGCAAUGGGCGAAAGCCUGACGCAGCGACGCCGCGUGAGGGAUGACGGCCU
rnacentral:rRNA from 1 species